rnacentral:rRNA from 1 species
AGGAUGAACGCUGGCGGCGUGCCUAACACUAUCAAGUACGAACGAACCGUAGAAAUACGGUGAGUCGGCGGACGGGUGAGUAACGCGUAAGCAAUCUGCCUUUUGUGUGUGGAACUAACAACCGGAAACAGUUGCUAAUACCGCAUAACGCAGAGAGAUCGCAUGGUCUAUCUGCCAAAGAGUUUAUCGCACGAAGAUGAGCUUGCGUCCGAUUAGAUAGUUGGCGGGUAACGGCCCACCAAGUCGACGAUCGGUAGCCGGACUGAGAGGUUGAACGGCCACAUUGGAACUGAGAUACGGUCCAGACUCCUACGGGAGGCAGCAGUGGGGAAUAUUGGGCAAUGGACGAAAGCCUGACCCAGCGACGCCGCGUGAGGGAAGAAGGUCUUCGGAUUGUAAACCUUAGUCAACAGGGACGAAGCAAGUGACGGUACCUGUGGAGGAAGCCACGGCUAACUACGUGCCAGCCGCCGC